rnacentral:rRNA from 1 species
UACGUAGGGUGCGAGCGUUAAUCGGAAUUACUGGGCGUAAAGCGUGCGCAGGCGGUUAUGUAAGACAGGGGUGAAAUCCCCGGGCUUAACCUGGGAACUGCAUUUGUGACUGCAUAGCUAGAGUACGGUAGAGGGGGAUGGAAUUCCGCGUGUAGCAGUGAAAUGCGUAGAUAUGCGGAGGAACACCGAUGGCGAAGGCAAUCCCCUGGGCCUGCACUGACGCUCAUGCACGAAAGCGUGGGGAGCAAACAGG